rnacentral:piRNA from 1 species
AAGUCUGCCUGGAUUAGGACCAGUGGUA